AUCCAUCUGAUGAGUCCGUAAUAGAAGGAGACGCGCGUCCUAGAU
rnacentral:hammerhead_ribozyme from 1 species